rnacentral:lncRNA from 1 species
UGCCAAAAAUAGGCCACGGGCACAGCCACGCCCAAAAAUCAGCCCCCGAAGGUCGGGGUGCCAAGACCCCCCAGCGGAAAAAUUCCCAAAAAACGGGUGGGCUAUAGCCUUGGUGGGGGGCGAGGGCGAAGUUCGUCCGCCGGACUCGGAAUGGCCCCAGACUUUGCGGGCGGCCUCCGUGUGGCAAAAAUAGGCCACGGGCACAGCCGCGCCCAAAAAUCAGCCCCCGAAGGUCGGGGUGCCAAGACCCCCCCAGCGGAAAAAUGGCCUAAAAACGGGUGGGCUAUAGCCUUGGUGGGGGGCGUGGGCGAAGUUCGUCCGCCGGACUCGGAAUGGCCCCAGACUUUGCGGGCGGCCUCCGUGUGCCAAAAAUAGGCCACGGGCACAGCCGCGACCAAAAAUCAGCCCCCGAAGGUCGGGGUGCCAAGACCCCCCAGCGGAAAAAUGGCCAAAAAACGGGUGGGCUAUAGCCUUCGUGGGGGGCGUGGGCGAAGUUCGUCCGCCGGACUCGUAAUGGCCCCAGACUUUGCGGGCGGCCUCCGUGUGCCAGAAAUAGGCCACGGGCACAGCCGCGCCCAAAAAUCAGCCCCCGAAGGUCGGGGUGCCAAGACCCCCCAGCGGAAAAAUGGCCAAAAAACGGGUGGGCUAUAGCCUUGGUGGGGGGCGUAGGUGAAGUUCGUCCGCCGGACUCGGAAUGGCCCCAGACUUUGCGGGCGGCCUCCGUGUGCCAAAAAUAGGCCACGGGCACAGCCGCGCCCAAAAAUCAGCCCCCGAAGGUCGGGGUGCCAAGACCCCCCAGCGGAAAAAUGGCCAAAAAACGGGUGGGCUAUAGCCUUGGUGGGGGGCGUGGGCGAAGUUCGUCCGCCGGACUCGGAAUGGCCCCAGACUUUGCGGGCGGCCUCCGUGUGCCAAAAAUAGGCCACGGGCACAGCCGCGCCCAAAAAUCAGCCCCCGAAGGUCGGGGUGCCAAGACCCCCCAGCGGAAAAAUGGCCAAAAAAUGGGUGGGCUAUAGCCUUGGUGGGGGGCGUGGGCGAAGUUCGUCCGCCGGACUCGGAAUGGCCCCAGACUUUGCGGGCGGCCUCCGUGUGCCAAAAAUAGGCCACGGGCACAGCCGCGCCCAAAAAUCAGCCCCCGAAGGACGGGGUGCCAAGACCCCCCAGCGGAAAAAUGGCCAAAAAACGGGUGGGCUAUAGCCUUGGUGGGGGGCGUGGGCGAAGUUCGUCCGCCGGACUCGGAAUGGCCCCAGACUUUGCGGGCGGCCUCCGUGUGCCAAAAAUAGGCCAUGGGCACAGCCGCGCCCAAAAAUCAGCCCCCGAAGGUCGGGGUGCCAAGACCCCCCAGCGGAAAAAUGGCCAAAAAACGGGUGGGCUAUAGCCUUGGUGGGGGGCGUGGACGAAGUUCGUCCGCCGGACUCGGAAUGGCCCCAGACUUUGCCGCGCCCAAAAAUCAGCCCCCGAAGGUCGGGGUGCCAAGACCCCCCGGCGGAAAAAUGGCCAAAAAACGGGUGGGCUAUAGCCUUGGUGGGGGGCGUGGGCGAAGUUCGUCCGCCGGACUUGGAAUGGCCCCAGACUUUGCGGGCGGCCUCCGUGUGCCAAAAAUAGGCCACGGGCACAGCCGCGUCCAAAAAUCAGCCCCCGAAGGUCGGGGUGCCAAGACCCCCCCAGCGGAAAAAUGGCCUAAAAACGGGUGGGCUAUAGCCUUGGUGGGGGGCGUGGGCGAAGUUCGUCCGCCGGACUCGGAAUGGCCCCAGACAUUGCGGGCGGCCUCCGUGUGCCAAAAAUAGGCCACGGGCACAGCCGCGCCCAAAAAUCAGCCCCCGAAGGUCGGGGUGCCGAGACCCCCCAGCGGAAAAAUGGCCAAAAAACGGGUGGGCUAUAGCCUUGGUGGGGGGCGUGGGCGAAGUUCGUCCGCCGGACUCGGAAUGGCCCCAGACUUUGCGGGCGGCCUCCGUGUGCCAAAAAUAGGCCACGGACACAGCCGCGCCCAAAAAUCAGCCCCCGAAGGUCGGGGUGCCAAGACCCCCCAGCGGAAAAAUGGCCAAAAAACGGGUGGGCUAUAGCCUUGGUGGGGGGCGUGGGCGAAGUUCGUCCGCCGGACUCGGAAUGGCCCCAAACUUUGCGGGCGGCCUCCGUGUGCCAAAAAUAGGCCACGGGCACAGCCGCGCCCAAAAAUCAGCCCCCGAAGGUCGGGGUACCAAGACCCCCCAGCGGAAAAAUGGCCAAAAAACGGGUGGGCUAUAGCCUUGGUGGGGGGCGUGGGCGAAGUUCGUCCGCCGGACUCGGAAUGGCCCCAGACUUUGCGGGCGGCCUCCGUGUGCCAAAAAUAGGCCACGGGCAUUGCCGCGCCCAAAAAUCAGCCCCCGAAGGUCGGGGUGCCAAGACCCCCCCAGCGGAAAAAUGGCCUAAAAACGGGUGGGCUAUAGCCUUGGUGGUGGGCGUGGGCGAAGUUCGUCCGCCGGACUCGGAAUGGCCCCAGACUUUGCGGGCGGCCUCCGUGUGCCAAAAAUAGGCCACGGGCACAGCCGCGCCCAAAAAUCAGCCCCCGAAGGUCGGGGUACCAAGACCCCCCAGCGGAAAAAUGGCCAAAAAACGGGUGGGCUAUAGCCUUGGUGGGGGGCGUGGGCGAAGUUCGUCCGCCGGACUCGGAAUGGCCCCAGACUUUGCGGGCGGCCUCCGUGUGCCAAAAAUAGGCCACGGGCACAGCCGCGCCCAAAAAUCAGCCCCCGAAGGUCGGGGUGCCAAGACCCCCCAGCGGAAAAAUGGCCAAAAAACGGGUGGGCUAUAGCCUUGGUGGGGGGCGUGGGCGAAGUUCGUCCGCCGGACUCGGAAUGGCCCCAGACUUUGCGGGCGGCCUCCGUGUGCCAAAAAUAGGCCACGGGCACAGCCGCGCCCAAAAAUCAGCCCCCGAAGGUCGGGGUGCCAAGACCCCCCAGCGGAAAAAUGGCCAAAAAACGGGUGGGCUAUAGCCUUGGUGGGGGGCGUGGGCGAAGUUCGUCCGCCGGACUCGGAAUGGCCCCAGACUUUGCGGGCGGCCUCCGUGUGCCAAAAAUAGGCCACGGGCACAGCCGCGCACAAAAAUCAGCCCCCGAAGGUCGGGGUGCCGAGACCCCCCAGCGGAAAAAUGGCCAAAAAACGGAUGGGCUAUAGCCUUGGUGGGGGGCGUGGGCGAAGUUCGUCCGCCGGACUCGGAAUGGCCCCAGACUUUGCGGGCGGCCUCGGUAUGCCAAAAAUAGGCCACGGGCACAGCCGCGCACAAAAAUCAGCCCCCGAAGGUCGGGGUGCCAAGAUCCCCCUGCGGAAAAAUGGCCAAAAAAUGGGUGGGCUAUGGCCUUGGUGGGGGGCGUGGGCGAAGUUCGUCCGCCGGACUCGGAAUGGCCCCAGACUUUGCGGGCGGCCUCCGUGUGCCAAAAAUAGGCCACGGGCGCAGCCGCGCCCAAAAAUCAGCCCCCGAAGGUCGGGGUGCCAAGACCCCCCAGCGGAAAAAUGGCCUAAAAACGGGUGGGCUAUAGCCUUGGUGGGGGGCGUGGGCGAAGUUCGUUCGUCGGACUCGGAAUGGCCCCAGACUUUGCGGGCGGCCUCCGUGAGCCAAAAAUAGGCCACGGGCACAGCCGCGCCCAAAAAUCAGCCCCCGAAGGUCGGGGUGCCAAGACCCCCCCGGCGGAAAAAUGGCCUAAAAACGGGUGGGCUAUAGCCUUGGUGGGGGGCGUGGGCGAAGUUCGUCCGCCGGACUCGGAAUGGCCCCAGACUUUGCGGGCGGCCUCCGUGUGCCAAAAAUAGGCCACGGGNNN